CAAGGGAGGCCGCCUUGAAAUGUGGAUAAGAUUUGAGAGGCGGGGAGGGUGAGAGGGCCCACAGGGAGGACGGAGCCGAGAUGGAAUUGACAGGGAGUGUGGAAGUACAGCCCCCCUUCCUCUCCCCAGCCCAGGGGUCAUUUUUUUUGGAGGAGCCACUGGGCAUCUCUUACGCUAACCCUUCUUUUACUUUCUAGAGCAAGCUUUUUAACUGAAACCCAGAGACAGAGACUCUUUCUUUUGCCUUUGGAUUAUGUGUUAAGAAAUACAGCAGGCAUAUACCUGAGAUUUUCUGUUGCUCGGAAGAGUUCCUGAAGCCCCCACACAUACUCCAUCACCUCCCUGGGGGCUUGUCUGCUCCAAAAAGGGCCCUGGAGGUUCUUCAUGGUCUGACCUUGAAUUACUCUCUCCCAUACCUGGAGAUGCUGCCUUGAUACGUAUGUGAUGUCUUCAGACUUGCACCUGAAAAGCUGAGUUAUUUCCCCGCAUUCCUCCUUCCAUGCCUCAUUGGUAUACAAAGUACAGUUCUUAGAGUUAGUCGAAGUUUGAAGAAGAUCCAGUCUGCUCUGAUUCUGAGGUCUUGACUCUCAUUUCUAUCUGUCUGACUAGUUGGCCAUCAUCUCUCUCUUCCUUGCUUCCGUCUUUCUCUCCCUUGACUUCAUCCUGUCUCUUCAUUGAGCCUCUACCCAUGCAUCUAUGUAUGUCAACAUAUAAAAACUACAUCCCUAUUUUUGGGUAAAAUUGGGUGAAAAUAGUAUUCUUGCUCAGGCUGGUGAUAAAGUAACCUAACUCGAAAUAUGUGAUGACAAACCACCACACGCACAGAAAGCUGAGAUCAGUACAUCCUACAAAGAGUUUUGGAACAUUGCAAUUUAAAGUAUCUUGAAAGGAUUUCCACCCUCAAAAUUAAAAAAAAAUUAUUUGAAAAGAUUUGGUAGAGGGAAAAUUACCCCUUUCCCCCUGCUGUGUAGUUCAAGAGCAUUUGCCACAAAUCUGGGCAAAUAAGCCAUGGAUUUCUAAUGAACAUCAAAUUGCAUGAGUUGAGGGAUAUUAUUACAACUCAGGAUUUUGCUUAAAUUGGGCAAAUCACCAUUUACACGGGGAGAUAAGACAAGGAUGUUCUCACAGUGUGUCUCCCUGAAACAGCGGCUUUGUUAUUGGUUUUAGGUAGUGUUCUUGGCAUUGACUUUGUGUUCACUCUGUUUGCCGAGUUUUUCUUACAUCUGAAGUCUAUACGCUUCUUUGCACCCCUGCCCCUGAUUUCUCAAUGAAAGCCGAGUUCCUGAGUCCUUCAUCCAUUCUUUCUCUCCUUCCUCGUACCUUCACCCCCACGCCUAAUUAUGAAACAGCUUCAGAUACAUACAAACAUUUUUAAACCCCCCAAGCCCCCAUUCUGCUUCCUGCAAACAAUAGACGGGUUUUCCGCUUUUCCCCUCGAGAGUUCUAAUUCACUUGGAGUGCCGUGCAGUUGGCCAGGCCCGAGAUUUCUGGGAGCUGUAAUUGUGUCUCAUUAAUUCGUACAGUAAUGGAGGGUAAUUCUAAGGAACGUGCAAUUAGUGGAUUGGUCAAUGAACAGAGCAGUUAAUCAGCAGACAAAGGACGGGGCUCAGGGCCCAUUAGGCUGAAAGGAAGUGUUAGCGCCUGUCUCGGGCUGAAGGAAUGGACGAGAACAUGCCUGCCCGUUGGACGGGCUGGAAAGACGAUGUUUGUCUUUUUGCUAAACCAGCUCUUUUCUUUUCUUUUUUUAAAUUGGUGUGGUAUGUGUUUAUUCAAACACUCGAGAGAUUCCUGAGUAUCCUGCCUUCGCCGGCCGUGCAUUUUUUUCUCACCUCGUAUUAGCUGGCAAAGGCUUUCCCCCGACCGCCACUGUGCAAAUAAACCCCAGAUCCACACACAACAAAGCAAAAACAAGCCCCCAACCAACCAACCAACCCUCGACAAUAAAAAAGGAAGGGGAAAAAAAAGCACAAGGCUGCUUUAGUGAAGCGUAUUAGAGAUAAAAGUCCUUAGCUGACCCCUCUGUCAUCAGCGAGUAAAUGAAUGCAGAGACCAAUAGCAUUUAAAUAAGCCCUUGUGUUGUCGUAGCCUCUAUAUUCAUCUCUAUGAAGUGGACCUUUAUUCUCUGAAUGGAGGUGUCUUAAGUACAUGUAAAUGUAUGCAGAUAAGCAUAUGGGUCUUAAAAUGUUGCCGGCCCCAUAGCUACAAGUUACCUCAAUUGUCGUUUUCGGUGAGAACGUCUGGUCAAAUUACUUUGGGGCUUUGCGUGCAAGAGUUAACCCAUCAUUAGAAUAAGGGUGCUUUUUCCGGGCAACACGGACGCGGUGUCCUUGCUAGGGAAAGUUUACCGAUGGAAACUGUGAAAUGUUGUCGCUGUGAAGGGAAGAUUAUUAAGAAAAUGGAUUUAUCAAUAACACAUGGCCCUGGGGCAGCUCUGAGCUCAAGCAAACAAUUCUUCAAAUAGAGCGACGGCUGUGCUCCUCGGGAAAGCAUACAUUUGGAAGAAAGCAGGAAUGAUUACAUUUGCUUUUUAAAAAUGAAACUAGCUUAAUAAUUAACCAAUUUCCUGAGUCAAGUGCAGUCCUGAAGAGAAAGGUAGGGUUUUUUGUUUUUUGUUUUUUUCUUUCUCCAAACCUGUCUGCUGUUUUAUCUUCUUGGGAUUCAGUUGGAAACAAAGAAAUGUUCAAAAAAGGAUUCUCUUAGGCAUGAUGUUGGAGAUUCAGCUAUUUUUUUGAAUAAUUAGCUUCAUUUGUUAAAUAUUUGAAAGACUUUUUACUCUGAGGUAAGGAAGAGCCUAGUGGAAGCUGGGAGUUACUCCAUGAUAUGCAUUUUUCAGAAGAAUUCUUCUUAUCAAUUAAUAAGGAGGAGUAAGCCUAUUCCACCCCCUUUUUCUCUUAUUGAGAGUUUCUUCUCUAAAGAAGUAUUAUCUUUUAUUCAAAACAUCACCAAGUUUCCUCGCUGCUUGAGUGACGUGCUCUGCGUUGUUCCAGAAACUGGAAGCCUAGGCAAUGCCGGGCAGCAGAAGGUGGCAUUUAACGCUUGGGGUCAGCAUGAACGAGCUGUGUGCAGCCCAGAACCACCCUCUGGGCCUCAGUUUCCUCAUCUGUAAAAUGCAGAUUUUUUUUUUUUUUGCUUUUUAGGGCCGCACCCAUGGCAUAUGGAAGUUCUCAGGCUAUGUGUCUAAUCAGAGCUAUAGCUGCCGGCCUCCACCACAGCCACGGCAAUUUGGGAUCUGAGCCGAGUCUGUGACCUAUACCACCGCUCAUGGCAAUGCUGGAUCCUCAACCCACUGAAUGAGGCCAGGGAUCGAACCCACGACCUUAUGAUUCCUAGUCAGAUUUGUCUCUGCUGCACCACAACGGGAACUCCAAAAUGCAGAUUUUUAAUUUCCAUCUCCAAGAUUCCUUUAACUGCACUUUUUUGGAAUUUUUUUGAAAAACAGUGAAACUAUUUUAAGUCAUACUUGCAUCUGGGAAUUUUUUUCUAUCUAUCUAUCUAUCUAUCUAUCUAUCUAUCUAUCUAUCUAUCUAUCUAUCUAUCUUUUUGGCCACGUCCACAGCAUGCCGAAAAACUCCUGGGCUGGUUUUUCAUACAGUGCAUUAUAAACUAGUGGCAAGGGGACCCAAGACCCUCUGCUGGACUGGUCGACGUUGUUGGCCGCACAUCGCUUUAUACAGCAACCUACUUGUGGAUCCAGCUCAGAGCCAUCAUUGUGUUGCUUCUCAUCAGGAAAGGUUUGCUUUCACCUUUAGGAACAAGUUGUUCACACACAGGGCGGCUGACCCCCUCUGGCUGGAAUUCCCAGUCCGGCUCAGCCCUAUAGUCCACUCCGUCCUUUUCAUUCCAGGUCUUUUGCUUUUUCUUUUGUUUUCCUAGGGCUGCACCUGUGGCAUAUGGAGGUUCCCUGGCCAGGGGUCAAAUCGGAGCUGCAGCUGCUGGCCUAUGCCACAGCCACAGCCACACCAGAUCUGAGCCAUGUCUGUGACCUACACCACAGCUCAGGGCAACACCAGAUCCUUUAACCCACUGAACGAGGCCAGGGAUAGAACCCGAGUCCUCAUGGAUACUAGUUGGGUUUGUAAUUGCUGAGCCAUGAUGGAACCUCCGGGUUCCACGUCUUAAUGGGACCACUCCCCUCCCCCAGGUCUUUGACAGACUUUCAAAUUCUUAGGGAGCCUUUCUUCUCAUUCGAUUGUACUGGGCAAAAAAUUCUUAACAUUUUUUUCUGCCAGAAUUUUCUUCACGAUCAGGAUGAGCUUUAAAGACCAGGAAAAAAAACCGGUAAAUGAUAAAUGUAUUUAUUACUUAUUUAUAGGUCAAGUACAGAAACUCUUAUGCUAACAUGGGCCAGGCAGAUCGGUUAGGGGUCCAGAGAGCCAGACAGGAAAUUACAGAUGGUGGUGAGGCAGAGCGCCUUCAAGAGUCCAGCCUCUGCUAAAGAGGGAACGUCAAUGAUUACCAUAUGGGGAACUGGCUUGGUAUUGUCAGAGGUUCUGAUAUUUAAAAAGAAGUUGGAAAUGCAUCUUUUAUGUCAACUCUUCCAAUAUUUAAAUACUAGUUCAUAAAAGUCUACACACUGUCUUGGUCCAAUCAACUACAUCUAUGUCCUGAUCAGUUGCUGGGCUGCCAGUUGGUCCCCUUGGCGCCAGGCAACCACUGGGUCUGUCUUCUUCCAUUAAGGAGUAGAUGGGAAGCUGAGUUAUCUGGUUAUCUCCUUCCUUCAAGAUUCAGAUGCUCGACGUAAAUGUGUAUCUGUUUCACUGAUUGAAUAAGCCACUUUGAUUGAAUUCUUGUGAAGAAGUUUGAAGACCCUGCUCUGGAGGAAACUUGCUUUCUCCUAUAUUUCUUUUUUCCUUUUCUUUUCCUUUCUUUUUUUUAAUGGCCACACCUGCAGCAUAUGGGAGUUCCCAGGCUAGGAGUCGAAUUGGAGCUGUCGCUGCCAGCCUACACCACAGCCACAGCAAUGCCAGAUCGGAGCCACAUCUGUGACCUACACCACAGCUCAUGGCAACACCCGAUCCUUAACCUACCGAGGCAGGCCAGGGAUGGAACCCACAUCCUCAUGGAGACUAUGUCAGGUUCCUAACCUGCUGAGCCACAGUGGGACCUCUGCUUUCUCCUAUACUUCAGUGGACUUCAUCUUUACUGUGAAUAGGCUAUGGUGGAGAGGACUUGACUUCAGGGUAAACACCAGGGCGGAUGACAAUUGCUUGGAUUUUAGGGAGACCUCCCAACUGGUGUCUAGCAACUCACUUCUCGAACUUAUUAGAUGCCAUGUAAUUGCUGAGCACUGCCCGGAUGUGGGCAGGAACUAUUCAUUUCAGAGGUGUCUGUGAAGACUAAAUGCAUCCUCCUCAAAUCAUGUGUUGAAAUGCUAGCCCCCAUGGUGAUGGUGUUAGGAGUGGGGCCUUGGGAAAGCAAUCGGAUCCCAUAGGUGGAGGCCUCAUGCAUGGGAUUUGUGUCUUUAUAAAAGGGACCCCAGAGAGCUCUCCCGCUCUCUUUCCACCAUGAAGAUACAAAAAUUUGGCAGUCCGCACCCUGGCAGAGGGCUCUCACCAGAACCUAACCAUGCCAGCACCCUGAUCUUGGACUUUCAGCCUCCAGCACUUGAGAAAUAAAUUUCCGCUUAUAAGCCACCCAGUCUCUGGUACUUUGUUAUAGUAGCCCAAAUUAAGACAAUGCCUCUUGUUAAGUUAAUUCAACAAAGAGGCCUACAGCUUGAGGUGGUUCUAAUCCCUUAACGCCUACAUAAGCGAACCCAAACCUAAGCCAGACAUCUCACCCUGCUUGCUGAGCUCUGGUUAUGGAGCCUAAAUGUUAUUCCAGAAAAGGAAGGUAACCCUGCAUUAACCAGUCUGCAUUUGCCUAGGGUAACUUCCUCAUUCCUGCUUACGAUGGGCUAGGGAGUGCCUUUCUGUUUUCUAGACUGGAUGCUUCCUGACUCAUGAAAUCACUAAAUAAAAGCCAACUAGAUCUGGAAAUUAAGUGUCUUUGACAUUUUCUCUUAUCAUCUUAAAAAAUGAAUUUCAGUAGCAGUGUUCUGUUGUUUGGAUAUAGUUGCAACGAUCAAAAUCUUCCACUUUGCAAGUCCCCGAGAAAACAGGGCAUGAGAGAUCAUUCGUUUCUACCUAUUUUUGGUAAUAAAAUGUAAAAGAAUGCUGAUUAUAUUAAGAUCUUUCUGCUGCGAGAUUCUGGUUGGGGAGGGAAGGCAGACAUCCAUUUCUGACAUUAUUUCCCAGAAAGUUCAUUUAUUAGGUUUUACUCUUUCUAGAAUGUUCUCAAUAAACUGACUUGAAAGUCACCAAAGGGAAAUAGGUUAUGUGAUGGAGAAGAUAUUACUGUGGCCAACAUAACGGUCAAAAAGUCCUCGGAUUGCCAAGGAGGGUGGGGUGAGUUACCCAGGAGGCCUCUGGAGAGAGACAGCGUCGCACACUAGCGCCUCCUUCAGGGCUCGUGGUUUCUAGCAGUGGUGUGCCAGACACCCCCCUCACACUGGGGUGGAGCCAGACAUUAUCUGCGAGAUUUAAUAAAAACGGGGAGAGGAGUUCCGUGGCUCAGUGGAAACGAACCUGACUAGUAUACAUGAGGAUGUGGGCUCCAUCCCUGGCCUCACUCAGUGGGUUAAGGAUCCAGGGUUGCUGCAAAGCUGCGCCGUAGUUCACAGAUGCAGCUCGAAAUCAACUCCUAGCCUGGGAACUUCCAUAUGCCGCAGGUGCGGCC
rnacentral:lncRNA from 1 species